GGAGAGGUGGCUCAGUGGUUAAGAGCACUGGCUGCUCUUCCAGGGGUCUUGAGUUCAAUUCCCAGCCACCACA
rnacentral:tRNA from 1 species